CCAGUGUUCGUACACCAGCUGAUGUAUCCAUUGACUAUCGAUGUUCAUCCUCCUUCCUCACCAUGAUAUUCACCUGUUACAAAGGACCUAAGGUCAGCAUUUCUGAAAAUGGCAAAUCUUUCUAGGGAGUCAACUCGACUGGUCACAGAUAGCACAGAUUUUAGAAAUAAGGCUGAAUUAUGAGGAAAACCACUG